rnacentral:rRNA from 1 species
UACCUACGGGAGGCAGCAGUGAGGAAUAUUGGUCAAUGGACGCAAGUCUGAACCAGCCAUGCCACGUGCAGGAAGAAGGUGCUAUGCAUUGUAAACUGCUUUUAUACGGGGGUAAUUACAGAUACGUGUAUCUGGAUGAAAGUACCGUAUGAAUAAGGAUCGGCUAACUCCGUGCCAGCAGCCGCGGUAAUACGGAGGAUCCGAGCGUUAUCCGGAUUUAUUGGGUUUAAAGGGUGCGUAGGCGGGACGGUAAGUCAGCGGUAAAAAUGCGGAGCUCAACUCCGUCGAGCCGUUGAAACUGCCGU